rnacentral:rRNA from 1 species
AAAAAUCAGCGGGGAAAGAAGACCCUGUUGAGCUUGACUCCAGUCUGGCAUUGUUCGGAGACAUGCCGGGGCGUAGCAUAAGUGGGAGGCGCGGAUUACGCGGCUGGCGUCGAGAGGCGUCGGUCGUGCCGUGGCGGCUUUGAAAUACCACUACUCGCAUCGUUUCCUUACUUACUCGGUGGUGCGGAACGCGUGCUGCGUGGUCCGUGGCGUUUGGGCGAGUUGGUGUUCGUUGCGCGAUUCGUCGUUGCGCGAUAUCGGCUCCCCUUCGUCCGUAGUGACUCGCCGUAACGAUGAAUUCCCGGUCGAAUUAAGCGCGAUCGUCCUUCGCGGAUCUUUCGCGCGAUCCGAUUCGAGGACACCGCCAGGUGGGGAGUUUGACUGGGGCGGUACAUCUGUCAAAGAAUAACGCAGGUGUCCUAAGGCCAGCUCAGCGAGGACGGAAACCUCGCGUAGAGCAAAMGGGCAAAAGCUGGCUUGAUCUCGGACGCUCAGUAYGCGUAGAGACUGCGAAAGCAUCGGCCUAUMGAUCCUCUCGUCCCGAGCUGAAGAGUUUUCA